rnacentral:tRNA from 1 species
GGAGAGAUGCAGGAGUGGUUGAACUGGCCGCUCUCGAAAAGCGGUAUGGGGCAACCCAUCGAGGGUUCGAAUCCCUCUCUCUCCGCCA